rnacentral:tRNA from 1 species
GCCCUUCUAGUUUACCUUAAAAUAAAGGCUUUUCAAGCCUUAGAGCCAAGUGAAAAACUUGGGAAGAGUA